rnacentral:rRNA from 1 species
UGGGGAAUCUUGCACAAUGGGCGCAAGCCUGAUGCAGCCAUGCCGCGUGUAUGAAGAAGGCCUUCGGGUUGUAAAGUACUUUCAGCGGGGAGGAAGGGAGUAAAGUUAAUACCUUUUCUCAUUGACGUUACCCGCAGAAGAAGCACCGGCUAACUCCGUGCCAGCAGCCGCGGUAAUACGGAGGGUGCAAGCGUUAAUCGGAAUUACUGGGCGUAAAGCGCACGCAGGCGGUUUGUUAAGUCAGAUGUGAAAUCCCCGGGCUCAACCUGGGAACUGCAUCUGAUAAUGGCAAGCUUGAGGCUCGUAGAGGGGGGUAGAAUUCCAGGUGUAGCGGUGAAAUGCGUAGAGAUCUGGAGGAAUACCGGUGGAGAAGGCGGCCCACUGGACGAAGACUGACGCUCAGGUGCGAAAGCGUGGGGAGCAAACAGG